CAGAAUCAUCAAAUUUUGAAAAAUAAAAAUCGUCUACUUAACAACAUACAGUUAAAAAGUUUGGUUUCUACUUGAAAAAAAUUGAAUGUUGUUCCAAUUUCUCAAUUUCAACAUUUGAACACAUACAUUAUAUACAAAAAAAUCAGCUGUGAAUAGUGAGCAUGCUUGGUGAAUCCUGUCUAUAAACAUUAAAAUAUUAUUAUAUUCAUAAAUAUGCUGCAUUGAGGAUUCCAAAAAUCAAAGUCACCACACCACUCGCACAAUUAUAGCGCAUGCGGCGUCAGUGGCGUUCGUAGGAUUUUUUAAGGGGGGUGUCAUACUUCAUAAUAAUAUACACAAAUUUAUCUUUUUUUUGUAUUUUUGCUCGUCACUAAAAAAUCAUCUACCAUUAUGUUAUGAUAGAAUAGUCAAUACAAAUAAAAUAAAAUAAAACAUUUAUACAUCUAUAUACAUAAAAAUGGAGUCAAAAAUCUAUAACAAUUCAUCAACUGAGAACUGCUGGGCCGAUUUGGCUCAACAUUUUUUUUAAUUGUUAACUGUAAUUUCCAGUAGAAGGGUUUUAGGAAAAAAAUUUUGGUCAAAAAUCUAAUAAUAUGGAUAAUGGGCUCUUUAACUAUAUUAUCAUGCGGAUAUUGUUUUACUUAUGUUGAUUUAAGUAUUAACGUACCAUAUAACAGAGCAUACAUUAAACAAUAUAAGAAAAAUUUUGAACGUUGCUCAUUAAAAUAAAAUCCAGUAUAAAAUUUAUGUUCAACAAUGCUAAAAUCUAUAAUAUUAUCCUGGAUUCACAAUAUACGUACAUCAGUCAGCCUAAAUAACAAUUUAACAAUACCUAUUUAUUAUGUACUAUCUUUGAAUAAAUUCAAACAGCAGAAAUGUGUGUACGUCUAGCAAUGUCUAGUUAAUGUUAGUUUAACUUAUUAAAUAAAAAUAUAUAGUUGAUGGGGAGGAAAUAGCUCUGUUGAUGAAUAAUAAAUGUAAAUAAAUAAAUCUGCAGCACAGUUCAAUUGCAGCAGCCAUCAGGUUCAUAUCCUUGUUGUUGAAUACUGUCGAAAGUUGGAGACGAAUUCGAAUUAAUUAAUAAAAUCAAUCUGCUUACACAUUAUAACAUGGAUGUAGUGUAGGUACUUUUUUAUUUAUACAAACCUUGCUCGGCGCCAACAACCGUCCCUCGGGAUCGAAUAUAUUUUCUAGAUCUUGAAGUCGUUAUUCAGAACGUACAAUAUUUUCGUUUGCAUACUUACGUAUAGAAUUUAGACAAUAAUAAACUUUUUUUCGAUAUCAUAUUUUUGAGAGCUGUAUAAUUGUAGCUAAUAUAAUAAAUUUGAUGUAUUAUUAUUAUGUUUAAUAGUCACAUUUAAUUUUUUUCUCGUGAACUAAGACUAAAAUAGUAAACAGCUGUCUUAAAUUAUUGUCUUAACAUACUAACAAUUUACAAAAAAUAAUAAACUCAUGUUACUAUACGUACAUAAAAUCCUCUAUACAUAUAAACAUUUUAUUGUUAUUAAUUACAACGGCUGCAAAGGCCAUUGUAAUUACAAUAAUUUAAAUAUAUACAGUUCUAUAAUAGUAGGGAGCUGUGUUGCGAUAAUUAUCAUCUAAAUUUGGUUGAAAAGGUGUGUUUUUCUUAAGAAGAUGAUCAUGUUGUUGAUGUCUUUAAGUAUAUUUUGUUUCUGAACUACGACACUUUUUUUAUUUUGAGUUUCUUAUUUUGAAGCAACACGUUUUUCUGUAAUAAGUAAUUCCAUAUUCGCCUAAAAAGUGUUUACAUUUACAACGAAUAACGAUGAUCAUCAAAAUAUAAAAUAUAUCAUGCGCUCAUUGAAAAAUAAUCACACAAAAUGUUAAUGUUUGUUCAGAAACAGUUCAAAUAUGAUUGAACAACAUUACUAUAAGUAUGAUGUCAAUAA